rnacentral:misc_RNA from 1 species
UUGGAAGUUUGUAUGAAAGUCCUAUGUUUUUGAAGUAAGAGACUUGAAAUUUAAAAUGUAUGCUCUAUAGAUGGUGAGAAGGUGUUCUAAUAAUGUAUCUUUAGAAAUCAACUCCCUUUUGGGGUUAAAACGGGGGAUGGUAGGUUGACUUACUCAUCACGAAAUCUCCGAAACUAUAACAGCUACAAAUUUGAAAAUUGGCAAGUAGGUUCCUUAUAGGGCG